CUUCGAGAUAGAAGCGGUUUCACAGUCUCACGGUCCCAGCAUUAAUGCACCUGUACUGUCUCCACCUUCUAGAUGGUAGUGGGGUGAACAGGCCGUAGCUCAUUGAUGAUCUUCUUGGCCUUCCUGUGACACUGGGUGCUGAAGAUGUCAUGGACGGCAGGCACUGUACAACCGGUGAUGUGUUGGGCUGAACGCACCGCCCCCUGGAGAGCCCUUUAGUUGGAAGCAGUGCAAUUGCCAUACCGCGGAGGUCAGUGGAACACUGAACGCCAUCCUCAAGUCAGAGACAGACACAUCGACUUUAACACAAAGGCUUUUACACACAGGAUCUGACCACAAGUCAGACCCAGAGAGACUGGGGCUGGGGCGACUGGGCUGUCCUCCUGCUCAGAGUAUUUACUUUAUGGUAACCCGAGCAUGAGGGCUGUUCAUUCCCAUCUGGACUCAGAUGACACGUUAGGAGGGGGGAGCCACACCAGGCAGUAUUAAAGAGAAACGGUUCCUCUGCAUGUUCUGUAACAAAGGCUUCAGCUGACCCCAAAAGGUGGAGAUCAACCAGAAGGUUUACACAGGGGAGAAAUCAUUCAACUGUACCCAUUGUCAGAUGCGCUUCACCCAUGCUGGCAACCUGAAGAUGCACCUAAAGGUACACGCAGGAGAGAGGCCGUUCGCCUGUACGCACUGUGAGAAGAGGUUCUCGGGAAAGGAUGGGAAGCCUGAUCUGCUGCUGGUCAAAGAGGAGACAAUAGAAGACGGACCAGAGAGCAUUGACCUGCUGAGUGGACUAAAGAUGGGGGAGCAAGGUGCUUGGCUGCAGGAGACUGGGCGGCUACCUUGGAUUCCCAGACCGGUGCAGACAAGAACCCAGGGGACAACAUAACUGAGCAGGGUAGGAUCAGAGGCGACAUAGUGGAGGUCAGAGGAUGGGUCUGAAAACCUAUCGUUUAUAGGGAGAUUGGUUCUGGCAGCCAAAACUGUCAAAUACUCCAUCUAAAUGUGGAUCGAUUCUCAAUUGCGAUACAAUUCUAGAAACAUAAAGCCCUUUACUUUAAUAUCACAUCUAAAUAAUUUCACAAAAGCAAAAUAUACACUUACUGCACACUGUUUUAAGCGGGUUUAACACAGUUACAGCCAUAAGUAUUCAGUUAAAACACUUUUUUGGCGUCGUUCCUUCCGUUACACACAGGUGUUCGGAGCACGCUAGAUAGCUAAUUAGCACAGAUGGUCUCCUCGGGUCUUCCGUCUGUCAUCCGUGAAUAAAGCGCUGUGUUGGAGCCAAUUUGGGUGCAUCUCAUAUUCAGGUAUUGUUCGGGCAAUUACACUCCCGACCACUAUGGUCAGACAAAUGGUGGUGGUAAACACGCAUCAGGGGAUCUAUGAAGACACAUGUGCUUUAAAGUAAUGGUGUGUGUUGAUGGUGAGAGAGCUCAUUAGUUCUUAUAGCAAUCAAAUGAAAGCAAGAAAACGCCAAACAAGAUACAAAGGACUACUAUAGUCAAUACUCAUUCAUUCAAGGUAACCCCUAUUGUUAAGUUUGAGGUGUGUUAAGAACAAGUCUAUUUGCUACCAUCCACUCACCUGGUGACUGAUUGGCUACUUAGAAUUCUUGGAUUUUCAAAGCAAAUUAUCACUACAUGCUGUAUAUAUGGCCGUGUGGGAACCCGAAUUAGCCCUAUGUGUGUGUAGUAAUUUAUCCUUUUUAUUAUUAUUAUUAUUAUUUCUCGCUGAUAUGAAAGAUAAGGUCUUUAUGUUAACGUUCAAAAUGAGCACCGUGGCUUAUAAAGAAACCCAGAGCAGAAUAUACUGUAUUUACCUUCAUUGAUAGACUCUAGAGCGUCUAUGAAGUUGUUAUGUGAACUAUAUUACCCCUCAUAACCCUUUGUUAACUUGUCAUUUGAAACAGACUUGUGUAAAUACUUUUUUUUAGAGAGAGACAGUAAACCUUGGCUAGAACAAGGACGGAGGUGAUGUAGAU
ensembl:lncRNA